UACGUAGGGUGCAAGCGUUAAUCGGAAUUACUGGGCGUAAAGGGUGCGCAGGCGGUUCUGCAAGUCAGAUGUGAAAUCCCCGGGCUCAACCUGGGAAUGGCAUUUGAGACUGCAGGACUAGAGUGAAUCAGAGGGGGGCAGAAUUCCACGUGUAGCAGUGAAAUGCGUAGAGAUGUGGAGGAACACCGAUGGCGAAGGCAACCCCCUGGGAUACCACUGACGCUCAGGCACGAAAGCGUGGGGAGCAAACAGG
rnacentral:rRNA from 1 species